AAGGCUGAAAUUCGCCUUCCAUGAAGCCGGAAUUGCUAGUAAUGGCAGGUCAGCAUACUGCCGUCGAAUACGUUCCCGGGCCUUGUACACACCGCCCGUCACACCAUGAGAGUUGGGAAUACCCGAAGCCUGUGAGCUAACUUUAAGAGGCAGCAGUCGAAGGUAGAAUCAAUGAUUGGGGUGAAGUCGUAACAAGGUACC
rnacentral:rRNA from 1 species